rnacentral:tRNA from 1 species
GGGCAUAUAGCUCAGUGAUAGAGCAUUUGACUGCAGAUCAAGCGGUCCCCAGUUCAAACCCAGGUGCCUCCC